rnacentral:rRNA from 1 species
AGGGCGUACGGUGGAUGCCUAGGCACUUGAAACUGAAGAAGGACGCAACAAACGGCGAAACGCGGCGGGGAGCUGUACGUAAGCAAAGAUCCGCCGGUAUCCGAAUGGGGGAACCCGGCAUGCGUAAUAGCAUGUCAUCCGCAGAUGAACAAAUAGUCUGCGAGAGAGGUACCCGGGGAACUGAAACAUCUAAGUACCCGGAGGAAAAGAAAACAACAGUGAUUCCCUGAAUAGCGGCGAGCGAAAGGGGAGGAGCCCAAACCAGACCGAGGUCUGGGGUUGAAGGACCGCGAUACGGCAAGAAUCAUGGUAGGAGAACGGCAUUGAAAGGCCGACCGGAGAGGGUGCAAGUCCCGUAUCCGAAACCGUGAGGAAGCCCAGCGGGAUCCUGAGUACGGCGAGACACGAGAAAUCUUGUCGGAAGCAGGCGGGACCAUCCGUCAAGGCUAAAUAUAAGCAAGUGACCGAUAGUGAACCAGUACCGUGAGGGAAAGGUGAAAAGAACCGCGGGAGCGGAGUGAAACAGAACCUGAAACCGUAUGCUUACAAGAAGUCAGAGCACGUUAAGGUGUGAUGGCGUGCCUUUUGUAGAAUGAACCGGCGAGUUAUGUUAUCGUGCGAGGUUAAGCAGGAGAUGCGGAGCCGAAGCGAAAGCGAGUCUUAAGAGGGCGGCAGUACGAUGACAUAGACCCGAAACCGUGUGAUCUAGCCAUGACCAGGUUGAAGUUCAGGUGAAACUGAAUGGAGGACCGAACCGACCCCCGUUGAAAAGUUGGCGGAUGAGUUGUGGCUAGGGGAGAAAUUCCAAUCGAACACGGAUAUAGCUGGUUCUCCCCGAAAUAGCUUUAGGGCUAGCGUCGAGGAUGAGUCUUGUGGAGGUAGAGCACUGAAUGUACGAUGGCCCCAUCCCGGGGUACUGAGUAUAAUCAAACUCCGAAUGCCAUGAGAUAUUCCCGGCAGUCAGACCGUGGGUGAUAAGGUCCAUGGUCAAAAGGGAAACAGCCCAGACCGCCAGUUAAGGUCCCAAAAUGUAUGCUAAGUGGAAAAGGAUGUGGGGAUGCACAGACAACUAGGAGGUUGGCUCAGAAGCAGCCAUCCUUCAAAGAGUGCGUAACAGCUCACUAGUCGAGUGACCCUGCGCCGAAAAUGUACCGGGGCUAAGCAUACUACCGAAGCUGCGGAUUUGUAGUAAUACAAGUGGUAGGGGAGCGUUCCAUGCACGUGGAAGCCAUACCGAAAGGAGUGGUGGAGAGCAUGGAAGUGAGAAUGCCGGUGUGAGUAGCGAGAUGCAGGUGAGAAUCCUGCACACCGAUAGCCCAAGGAUUCCAGGGGAAGGUUCGUCCGCCCUGGGUAAGUCGGGACCUAAGGCGAGGCCGAAAGGCGUAGUCGAUGGAAAACAGGCAGAUAUUCCUGUACCCGCGAUGGAAAUGAAGGAAUGACGGAGAAGGCUAGCAUGAGCCACUUAUUGGAUUGUGGUCGAAGCGAAUAGCAGGUGCAUAGUCAAAUGCGUGCACGGGAUGUAAAACGUGACAGGUAAGCGAAACCUUUGGGGAGUAGCGAAGCAUGCGAGGCCAGCUUCCAGGAAAAGUUUCUAGUGCUGAUUCCAUAGCGGCCCGUACCAAAACCGACACAGGUGGGCAAGGAGAGUAUCCUGAGGUGAGCGAGAGAACUGUUGCCAAGGAACUCGGCAAAAUGACUCCGUAAGUUAGCGAGAAGGAGUGCUUAUGAAAGUAAGCCGCAGUGAAGAGGCCCAAGCGACUGUUUAACUAAAACACAGCUCUCUGCGAAGUCGCAAGACGAAGUAUAGGGGGUGACGCCUGCCCGGUGCUGGAAGGUUAAGAGGAUUUGUCAGUUUCGACGAAGCAAUGAAUUGAAGCCCCAGUGAACGGCGGCCGUAACUAUAACGGUCCUAAGGUAGCGAAAUUCCUUGUCAGGUAAGUUCUGACCCGCACGAAAGGCGUAACGAUUUGGGCGCUGUCUCGGCAGCAGACUCGGUGAAAUCUUAGUACCUGUGAAAAUGCAGGUUACCCGCAACUAGACGGAAAGACCCCAUGGAGCUUUACUGCAGCCUGAUAUUGGAUUUUGAUCAGAGAUGUACAGGAUAGGUGGGAGACGAAGAAGGAUGCACGCCAGUGUAUCUGGAGUCGACGUUGGGAUACCACUCUUGUCUGAUUGGAGUUCUAACCUGCGUCCAUGAAGCUGGACGGGGGACCGUGUCAGGCAGGCAGUUUGACUGGGGCGGUCGCCUCCCAAAGAGUAACGGAGGCGCCCAAAGGUACGCUCAGAUUGGACGGAAAUCAAUCGGCGAGUGCAAAUGCAGAAGCGUGCUUGACUGUGAGACAAACAGGUCGAACAGGGACGAAAGUCGGGAUUAGUGAUCCGGCGGUGCCGAAUGGAAGGGCCGUCGCUCAACGGAUAAAAGCUACCCUGGGGAUAACAGGCUGAUCUCCCCCAAGAGUUCACAUCGACGGGGAGGUUUGGCACCUCGAUGUCGGCUCAUCGCAUCCUGGAGCUGAAGUCGGUUCC